AUUGAACGCUGGCGGAAUGCUUUACACAUGCAAGUCGAACGGUAGAGGGGGCAACCCCUCGAGAGUGGCGAACGGGUGAGUAAUAUAUCGGAACGUGCCCAGUCGUGGGGGAUAACGUAGCCAAAGUUACGCUAAUACCGCAUACGAUCUAAGGAUGAAAGCGGGGGAUCGCAAGACCUCGCGCGAUUGGAGCGGCCGAUAUCAGAUUAGGUAGUUGGUGGGGUAAAGGCUCACCGAGCCAACGAUCUGUAGCUGGUCUGAGAGGACGACCAGCCACACUGGAACUGAGACACGGUCCAGACUCCUGCGGGAGGCAGCAGUGGGGAAUUUUGGACAAUGGACGCAAGUCUGAUCCAGCCAUUCCGCGUGCAGGAUGAAGGCCCUCGGGUUGUAAACUGCUUUUGUACGGAACGAAAAGGUCUCUCUUAAUACGGGGGACUCAUGACGGUACCGUAAGAAUAAGCACCGGCUAACUACGUGCCAGCCGCCGCGGUAACAC
rnacentral:rRNA from 1 species